AAGUCUUGUGUCCAUGUAGCCUUUUUUUAAAAUGUCUUUACCAGCAACAGGCUGCUAUCCUCCAGUUGCUAAAAGAAUAAAUGAAAAUAAAACAUGAAUGUUUUCUCAGUAGUUCUCAUGUGGAAGGGCAGUUCUUAGGACAAAAACAUUAAAACAAUCUUUUAGUAAAUCAAGAAAUUAUGCAGAGGAAUUUUCAAUUUAAAAAGCUGUUUCAUUUCCAGAGCAAAUAAAAAUAUUUAAUGGGUCAUGGGUCAUUAUGGGUUCUUAUAGAAAACUUUGCUAAUGCCCUGGUAAGAAUAUUAAAAUAUUGACAACUGAUUUUUGUGUUGAUGAUGACCUAGAAAAAUACUCACUUUCUCUUCUCUUUUCCCUCUCCCCCCUCAACUUCCUCCUCCUUCCUUUUUUUCUUUUUUUGGCUCAUGUCAACCAAAACCAACAUUCUCAUGUACCCCAAGAUAGCAAUUUACCUGUUGUCAUCCACUUCUCACUGUUAUCCAAGAUCUGCUUAGAAAAUGGUUGGAUCUUUCAACAUCCUCAUUCAAAAAUGGAAAUUCUGAAAUGGAAGACAAUCCUCAGUACUGCUGUGAAAAGACUACAAGAAGCCAUCAUUCAAAUGUAGGGAGCCCUCUGCAAUUUUUUUUUAAGAUUUAUUUAUUUCAGAGAUAGAACAGGAGAGAGAGAGUGCACACACACACACACAUACAGAAGGGGAAGGGCAGAAGGAGAAGGAGAGAGAAUCUCAGGUAGACUCCCCGCUGACCGAGGAGCCCCACACUGGGCUGGAUCUCACAACCUGAGCCCAAACCAAAAGUCAGAUGCUUAACCAACUGAGCCACCCAGGCACCCCUUCAAUCUUUAGAAUUGUAUACUUUUAUGAGGUAUAUGAUGGGUAGAUAGGCAAGAAGAGGUGCAAAGCCUGUGGGACCCUGGGCAAGUCACUCUGUCAAUUUGCCUUGUAUCUGUAAUAUGAAAAAAAUGCAUACUUGCAUGCACACAUAAACCCCUCUUUUCCUAGUAACUCACAGAAAUAAAUCACUGCAGUAUACAACUUUAUCCA
rnacentral:lncRNA from 1 species